GGGCCCGCACAAGCGGUGGAGUAUGUGGUUUAAUUCGAUGCAACGCGAAGAACCUUACCAGGGUUUGACAUCCUGCGAAUCUCUUGGAAACGAGAGAGUGCCUUCGGGAGCGCAGUGACAGGUGGUGCAUGGCUGUCGUCAGCUCGUGUCGUGAGAUGUUGGGUUAAGUCCCGCAACGAGCGCAACCCACGUCUUUAGUUGCCAGCAUUUAGUUGGGCACUCUAGAGAGACCGCCGGUGAUAAACCGGAGGAAGGUGUGGAUGACGUCAAGUCCUCAUGGCCCUUAUGUGUUGGGCUACACACGUGCUACAAUGGUACUUACAAUGGGAUGCAAAGAGGCGACUCUUAGCCAAUCCCUAAAAUGUACCUCAGUUCGGAUUGUACUCUGUAACUCGAGUGCAUGAAGCUGGAAUUGCUAGUAAUCGC
rnacentral:rRNA from 1 species